rnacentral:misc_RNA from 1 species
GCUCUACCCGAUCCAGGUGCCUGAUUAUUAUCAGCAAAAGUAAAGAAUGCUUGCAAAUAAGGGGAAGAGGGAAAAAAAAGACUAGGAAUCCUUUUUUUAAGAGAUGUAAAGCAACCAACUUGUUAAAAUUAAUAAAUUUAAUGUUGAUUAAGUGAAAAAUACUUGAAGCCAACGAAGGAUGCAAUCCUAGCACAAAAAUAAAUUAUUUACAUGGCCAUUUAUAAAACAUCAAGAAAAUUACUCGAACCAAAAAUUAAAAUCAAGGGAGCACCCAUAACAUUGUCAUGUGAAACAUCUAAUUAUUCCACCUAAGUUGGAAAAUGCAUCUAAUGGCCCAAAAAAGAUUGUAGAAACCAUCUAAUUUGUAAAAUGUUCAGUUCCCAGUCAAAUAUUUUAGUUUUCAACAAAAACCAGAUUGGAAGGUUGGCUAAAUUUGAUGAAGCAUCAAUCAAAUGAAACUGACCAAGGAUAUACGGUCUCUUACUUCACCCCAUAUCUCCAAGCACCUCAACAAAUUAUGGAUACCUAUCUCUUGAUUCUCUUCCACUAAACUACAACCAGUCUAACAAUGUAGUAGCAUUAAAAAGUAAACACAAAGCUGCCCUAUAGCAAGGAGGGAACAACCAAAAGUUCUGAUUACAAACUAAACACAAUUGAAUCCGUCCAAUAAGUGAAAUUCAAAAUUUACCUGACUGUCAAUGUUCAUGGGUU